rnacentral:lncRNA from 1 species
CUCAAAACAGUAACUUUCAAAUCUGCCCAAGUUUUUAUCAUGGCUAUUUUCAUAGCCUCCGCAAUCUCCCUCAACUUCGUAGCCAUAAAACCCCUCACUACAAUCAUAGUCUCCCAUGUUGUAGUCACAAUAAUCCCCGGCUAUCGAAGACAUGUUCCCCUUAUAUUACCUUUUAAACCUACAAAAUAAACAAACAAGAUUAGUAGUAAAAACUCCUCACCAACACUCAUAUUCACUCACUUUUGUGAUCCUCACAAUUUGGAGCGGCGAAUAUUGAAAGUUGCUUAUACUCCGGUAGUCAAUAAGAUGUCAAUUCUACUUGGCAGCCGGAAUAAUUUUGGUUUCAUCGACUCAAGACACAAAACAAAAUUUACUUACAAACUUGAAACAAAGAAGUUACUACGAGUUAAAAAUGAGAAAAGCACAAAAUAACGAACACGAAGAAACGGAUUCAAUAAUUAAUCUACAACUAAGUAGGUGAUCACUAGUUGUUAAUUAAUUCUAGAAUCAAGACAUGAAACUAAUGAAACAAUAAGAUGAAACUAAGAAUCUAAAAUUUUAAGCCCGAAAAUAUUGUGUGAACUGUAACUCUUUUCAAAUUCAACUCAAAAGGUAAGAUUUGACUUGUACUAGUUCCACAAAACAAGGCUCCUUGAAAUAUGGAAAAAUGGUUGAAAAAGUUAAUGUCAAGUCUAUGAGUGAUGUGAACUAGUCCUUUCACCAACAACUACUACAACUUUUCUUUCACCUUUUGUAGAUUUAAAGUUCACUUUUCUUGUGUUAACAAAAGAUGAAAGGGAGAAGAACAACGAGAACACAACAACAAUGUUUCAAGAACGACAACAACAAGUCCAACACCCAACUACAAGGUCACCUUCUCUCAAGAUAUAAAAACAACAUCAACAUGGCCAACUUCAAAUCCAUAACAACAAGAACAACAAAAAUUGGCCAAGCUUAUGUUCACAACAACUUUCAACAAGUUCCAGGUCAAGUUUAGAUCUAGACUCAAAGCAAGUGGACAAGAAAACUAACACUAGAAAUAACAAAACAAACAAGAACACUACUAGAUCUAGACAUACAACACACAAAUCUCGGCCAAGACACAACAAGAACACAAUUUUGUCCAAGAACACAAAUACGGACAGAUUGCUAUUUUCUGGAAAUUUCAGUUUUCAAUUUUUUUUUUGUAGUUUUCAAGUCUCAAGCCCAAGAUUGAUCUUGUAAGAACAAAAUCAACGAUGGCUUUGAUUCCAAAUGACACGAAAAAGGCCACGGAAGGCUCAAAAACUACUCAAAACAGUCCACAAAUCAACUAGAACCCGAGGACCCCUUUGAGAGCAACUUUCGGCUAACAAUAACAACAUAAGGAUUACAAGAUAUAGGGAGUAUUUUAACACCAAAACAGCAACAAUGAGACAAGAUGAAAAAAGUCACGGAUUCAACACAAACACAAGGGAAAUUGCAUUGAAAAUAAAGGUAGAUAGUGAGACCAAGAUUAUUACAAGAUUAAGAACCAAGUGUAUUUCAACACUAACCACUAAUGAAUGUAACAAUCAAAACCACACUCUUACAGUGACCACCAAGGGAAUGAACUCACCUUCAAGAUCUACCGUUUCCAAGCAAAGAUCAAUAUUGGCUUUUCCAAGCCCUAUACUAAGGAUGGCUUUUCGAAGACCUACAAAUAAGGGUGUUACACUCUCAAAAGAGAGAAAAUAUGUCAUUCAAUUCUUCAUCAUUCAAAAUCUCCAAAGAAAUGAGCUAAAAUGACCUAUUUAUAGUGUAUUACACACCAUGGUGCGGCCAUGGUGUGUAAAUACACCAUGUGUCAUGCCUUUAAUUAAGGUCCAAAACUGCGAGUCCUCAAUCUUAAAUGCUCCAAGCAAUCUUCCACACACGAGAUUACUUUAAGUUUGCUCAAAAUGGGUCCUCCAUGCAUGUUCUUGUAUUCUCGAGGUGGCCAAGUCUUAGGCCUCUAUAUGUUGGCAUCCAAAGAUGUCAUCAAAAGAUAAGAUGGCCAUCUAUCCCAUAUCAAUUUUUAAGUGAUUUAUGAUAAGUGUCAAGAUUUAUAUUUUUCUAUGAGAAAUUUGACUAUUGAAUAUAUAUAUAUGUAUAUAUAUCGAUAUUUGAAUUGAAAGUCAAGAAUGAGUUUGAUGAUGUUUCCUUGAAGCUUUGGCAUUUGAAAUGAUUUGAUAAGCAAAAAUGUACUUGAUAUUGAGAAACCUUGUUUGAAUUUGAGUCGAGUUAGGAAUCCACAGUUGUAUAUGAUUUACCGAUGAGAUAUAUUGUUGUUUUGGUCAUCAUGAUAGACCCAUAAGUUGAUAUUGAUUGAGGUGGAAUUCCUAACGUGUUUUGAGCAGAGUCUGGGAGAAGUAUUUAGCACCGAGCGGAAAAUUUAGAAUUUCUCCAGAACUACGUGCCACCGUAGGAUAAAUGUUGAUAGUUGUAGGCCAAAGACCGAGUACGAGAUUGUGAUGAUGAGAUUGAGGUUGUACUUCCUAGCAAGAGUAGACACCCCUGCCAAUGUGGGAUUUUCUUCUUAGGAGGGCAAAACAUUGGACUCCAUGUGGUUCACAUGGUGUAGUCAUGUCGGUUAUAAAAAACUCCCACGUCCAUAAUGAUAUAAGUCUCUUGAGUUACCGAGUCACUCUAAGUCAUGAGUUAAAGAGUUUGAGUUGAGUUAAAUUAUUUAUGAGAUUUAUGAAACACGUGUCAUUACUGAUGAUUUAUGGAAAUAAUGUUUCAGAUAAUUCAAGCGAAGAUAGUUAUUAUUGUUAGCAUGCUUAAUUUUUUAUACAUUUAUGAUAUUAUUUAAAAUGCUGCAUCCACCCCCACAUACUCAGUACAUUCCCAAGUACUGACCCUCAUACUCUUUUGUAUUCUAUAUUUCCUCAUGAUAUAGGUUCAGGUGCUCAGUCUCAGCUGCGACAGUGAUCUAUGAGUACCUUCAUCUGCAUUGGUGAGUCGUCAUGGUAAGAGGACCUAUGUUCAUGAUUUUUGUCUUGCUAAUUGAUGGUUGUUUAUUUUUCCGUUCAGCAUGAGCCAGUUGGGGAUCUGUCCCAAUGGCUCUUCAGUCUUAUGUAGUAGAGGCUUUGUAAGACUAGAGUACCAGUAUGUACAAAACCUUGGUAUUUUGAUUGUACAGGACAUUAUUAUUUUGUAUCUCAGUAUGUUCAUGGAAUAAUUAUUCUUCCUUAUUAACGCUCGAUUAUUGUCAUGGUGAAUUAUAGGAGUAAAGUUAGGCUCAGAGGGUUAGCUCGAUUAAGCACCGUGUGACGUUUUGGGAUAGGUUCUUGGGGCGUUACACAUCAUUAGCCAAAUCAAACACUUUCUUGAUCUUCAAUUCUUAUUUACUUUAGAAAUUUAUGGUCAGCCAUUCACAAAAGAGAAUUCAAGUCAAGGUCUUGGCUCUCACAUUGACAAAAAAUCUUCUCACACAUAAUUCCUUCUUUCUUAGAAGCCUUAAAACCACUUGUAGAUUCUAAAAACCCUAUUUUUAUUGAUGAACCCGACAAAGAUGAAUAUUUUGAAAUCCCACAAGUACCUAGUUUUCCUACUUUCUUAGAUUUAAAUUGAAUUUUGCUAAAUUAUUUAGUGAGGAAAUACUAGUUAAAAGGGUUUAUCUUUCUUAUAAUGAGAACUGGGUGGUUGAGAACUUAUUUCUGCUUACAUGUGACACCUUAGUUAGUGGAGAAGAACAAGUAACAGGAGAAAUAAAUGAAGUAGCUAAAGGAAAUAAAGUGUUAUCACCUCCAAAUGAGGAGGAUGUGGAGGUUGAGGAUAAACUGCUAUUGAGAUGGAUUAUGAAGUAAUAAAAGGAAAGUAGAGGCAAGAAAAAUUUGGUGAGCUCUAAGGUAAAAACGGCAAAAACCUGGUCUACAACUAAACAAACAAGAUCCAGAAAAGCUGCUUUAUAAUUGAGGAGAAAUAAAUAUUUAAGUGGUUAUUAAGAAAAGAAAGGUGAAAGUUCAUAUUACUGGAAGGACCAGGUCCUCUAGUUCAAAAUCUGGCAGUCCUGCUGAGAUGAGGUAGAAACAUAUAACAGUAAAAAAGAAAGAAAAUUUUGAGGGACCUUGUCACACCUCAACUCCUAUUGGGGUGGACAGGCACCCGUAGCCGUAAAGCCCCAAGAGAACCAAUUCAUAACCUUGAACUUCUCAUGUAUGUAACUAUGACAACCAAAGGUUCUAACCAACAUAAUAUUAUGUAUCGAUGAGAAUAAUUACAUAGGCAAGCACAAACUUAUAAAUACAACACUUGGCCGUUGGGGCCACCACGUCUAAAGACAAACACUACCAUAACUUUACAUUAGUCUACAAAGCCUCUAAAAGAUACAUAGACUUAGUUAGGGUCGGGACAAACCCCCGCCCUACUCUUGACUCACUGUAUAAUACCAAAAUAUAUGGAAUAGACACGGACAGCCCCGAAUUAACCUGGAGCUCACCAAUAGUCACUGAAAAGCCUACGCUCCUACUAGUGAGUUGUAUAAGUUGAAGUACACAAGCCUGCAGCAUGAAAUGCAGGUCUCCCGUGAGGGAUGUCAGCACGAAAAUAUGUACUGAAUAUGUAAGGCUGAAGGUAACAACACACGAUACAAGAGCUCAAUAGAAAUCAGAUACAAGUGUAUAAGUAGUACUAGUAGACCACCUUUAUAUAUACUUGUGGGACUACAUACAUUACAUCCCUUUCUUCAUUUUUACCUUUCUUACUUCAUAAUCUUUGUAAGCCAUAUAUAAUGCAAAUAACCAACUGAUCAGUGGUAAAUAGAUAAAUUAGGAUCGGCCCAUGCUAGGCUUACGCCCCUGAGCUGCCACCUACAUAUAAAGAUUGGGAUCAGCCCAUGCUAGGCUUAUGCCCCUGAGCUGCCACCCACAUAUAAAGGUAUCGAGAUCGGCCCAUGCUAGGCUUACGCCCCUGAGCUGCCACUCAUUUAUAGAUUUGAGUUCCUUAGUUUAUUUAGCCUUUGAGACUGUUAAUUUGGUGGUCAUCACAUUAUGGUACCUUGAACCAAUAAUAUGCUAAUAAGAGACAUAAAUGGACACUUAAUGCAACAACAAUGAGGUAGGGAGCUGUUGACACACAAAUGAAGUGUUUAGGAGCUGAAAAUACACAUAGGUCUUAUUUGAGUAAACGGAGAACUUCUACAAUUUUCUAGUGAAAUAGAUGUGUAGGUCAAAUAAUAAGCAUGUAUUGAGGUGUUUUAACACAUUAGAGAGUAGGAACAAGGUCAUUGGCUACAUGGAAUAUAAUGUGCUGCUAUUAUGUAUCGCUUGUUAUAGGAUAACCUUGGAAGCUUACUUGAUGGAACAAAUGUUCGAUUUUAUGCCAAAGAGUGCAAAAUAGAGUAUGCCUUACAUACCUGGUUGUACAACUCCAAUACCAGAUCAACUCGACUUCCCUCCCUUUUAGAUUACUCAUCUACAAUAAAAUAUAUGGCAAACUAAUAUUAGCAACCAACCGUCACAUUUUGGCUAUUUAACUUCACCAAGAUAGCAAUUGGGCAGUAAGCCUUUACUCAUCAAUCAAGGGUGUUAUCUUAACCUUUUUUCUCCUCUAAUUACACCCACAUACCAUACAUGUUCUUAUAAGAUUCACAGAAACCACUUCAACUUCAUUACACAUUCCAAACAAUACGCAAAAUAAAUUGUGCAGUAACAAAUGAAAUAAUUAGUUCGGUGGUGUACCACCACACCUUUAUUCUAUAUUUCAAUCCGAAUUAGUCACAGUUUUCUCCAACAAAAACCUAGCAGCCCACAAAACAACCCCAAAUUCCUUUUAUUAUAGCAAUCAAUUAUUAAACUCAUCAUCUCUUGAGUUCUCACUAACAACACAUCUAUAAUUCUCUAUAAAAUUCAUAUACAUGGAGAACAAAAUGGUGCAGUCACCUUACCUCAAUUCUGCAAUUUAUUCUUUUAAAUUUGAACUCCUUAAGAUCUUCAACUUUCACUUUCCUUCACACUUUAAACCAAAGAAGAAAAGAGAUCUCUUAAUAACCAAGAAAAAGUGAGCAAGUAGUUUGUUCUAUAUUCUGUCAUGUAUUUAUAAUUAGGCACAUGUAGCAUAUUUUCCUAAGCUUCCAUGAGAUAAUUAAGCUAAAACAUAAUUGUUUUCACUAAGUACCUUGGGCUGCAAAGGUUGGGGUUUCUUCAAGAACCCUAGAAAGGAAAAUAGGGCUGCUCCUAGUUUCUUAAAAGGAAGUAGAGAGAGUUUGUGAAGUGUAACCCUUUUUAAUGACUUAAUAAUGAGGGAAAUGAUCAGCAACUUCUACUUAAAAAGCCUCUAUUUUUGGCCAUCCACCUAGCUGAUUUUGGACAACAAAUUUAAUCAAAUUGGUCCAAGUAGGUGAUGCACCUACUUAAGGAUUUCAAGUAGGUCAAAAUGUCAAAGUAGGUAAUGCACCUACUUGCUUAAUUUCUUAGUUGGGCUCAAUUAUAUUUGGGCCUUUUCAGAUUUGAGCAUUGGGCCUUAUUUUCAUUUUUCUUCUUCUUUUACUUAAUUUAGGCCCAAAUAAGUAUUCUAAUAAAGGCCCAAAUCUGAUUCAUGGACUUGGUCCAUUAACUUGGCUCAUAGAGCUCAAGUAGGUGACUCACCUACUAGCUUAAUUAAGUCAAGCAAGCACCUCAAUAUUUUGUUCCAUUUUCAGCUCCUAAUCCCUUUAAUCUAACCUUAAAACUUAUACACACUUGGUCACUUUAAACUUCAGAUUCAAAUACAAAAUUACGAUCCCAAGUUUAAAUAGUUGUAUCGACGUUAACUUGGUGACAUCACAUUAAAUUGUACGGGCAGCAUCUAUAAUUCCAUCUACACCAUUAAUACUUGCAUACUUGAAGGUACCUUAGUAGAAGUUGACUGGAUGAUACCUUUCUUUACUCUUUACUUGCUUUUGAUGACAUGUAUGCCAUUGUAGAGAGUAUGUCAUGUAGUUUGAGUGAAGCCUAUGGGAAAUGGGAGUUUUGUCUAGAUUGUGUCUAUGGCCACUCUUCUCGUUUGACCCCAGUGCCAAAUAUAGAAUUGAUGAUGUUGAUGCGCCCAACUUGUUGCUUGGUCUACAUGACAAGCAAAGUAUCAAUUUUGGCAAAUUCCAUAACCAAAUCCUUUGUGCAUCUUUCAUGGAACUUUUAAUAUUAAUUUAAAGAAUUCUUGGUUAUAUUGCAAAUAUGUGAAACCUUGGCAUGUUGAGAUGAUUUGUUGUGCUAACCCUAACCCUCAUGCCAUGAGGAGUUUGUAUUUGUUUGUCCUCUCUUUGGUUUUGCUAGGUUUGGAAUCGAGGUAAAAUCCUUUUCAAGAAGGGGAGGAUGAUACAAGUCAAAUGGCUACCUUAGUUUUUGAAGACAUCCUGCGAGGCCAACACAAGAAGAACCCAAUUGUGGUCACAUUGAGGGCACGGGAGCACACAUGGGGGACCCAUUUUAAGCCCACAAUAGAACAAUCCCAUGUAUGGGAAGGUUGCUUGGAGCCUUGAUGAGAUGCCUGAGAGGUCCAAGUGUUGAAGAAUAAUUGUGAAGACCAAAAAGACUCAAGGAAAGUCAUAUGUUGAAGUGUGAAGAAGACAACAUCAAAACACUACAAGAUCACCCAUUCAUUAAGGGUGUAAUGGUCUUUUUAUGCUUUUUCUUUACACUCCAUAGGAGCCCCUUUUCAUUAAGGGUAUUUUGGUCUUUAAUGUAAUAAGUAUAAAUAGACUUCUUAGGUUUAUUUUUCAUUAGACUUUGAUGAAAUUGGAUAUUAUUCUUAGAUUAUAGCUUUAGUCUUGUAGUUUUAGCUCUCAAACCCGAAAUUGGUUCCUUGAAUACAUUUGAAGUUAGGGUUCUACUUGUAUUGGAAAAUUUGGCAAGAAAGGUAUGCUUAAGAGUGUUUCCUUUGGGUCACCUAAGAGAGUGGUUUGAUCUUACAUUUGUGAUGUGUGUUUGAAGGUUUGAUACACCUUCUAGUGUUAUUCAUUGGUCGAAGUGAGGGUCUCUCCAUCGAUCUUUAAUUUCAUCCAAUUCUUCUUCUUUAUCUCCUUCUAAUGUGUUGUUUUCUCUUUGUGAACUUGCUGAUUUUUGUUCCUUUAGUAUCCAUUUCGUGUUUGAUAGUCCUUUAGGCUAUCAUGUUUUGCAGUAUAUCUUUAAUCAGAAGGACCUAAAUUUGAGGCAGCGAAGAUGGCUUGAAUUAUUAAAAGCCUAUGACGUUGAUAUCUUGUAUCAUUCGGGGAAAGCAAAUAUGGUGGCAAAUGCAUUAAGUCAGAAGACUAUGGCACCAUCUAUAAAAAGACAAGGGAUGACUAAAGAUUUGUACCAACUAGCCAAUUUGGGAGUUCGCCUUCUUGAAGCUCCAGAUGAAGGGCUUAUUGUUUAUAAUGAUGCAGAAUCUUGUCUAGUAGCUGAAGUAAAAGAGAAGCAAUAUGCAGAUCCUAUUCUAUGAAAGCUUAAGGAAAAUGUUCAAUAUGGUAUGAUGAAAGCACUUGAGCUUACGCAAGAAGGAGUACUUUGGUGCCAAAAGAGAUUAUGUGUGCCAAAUGUAGAUGGACUAAGAAAGAGGAUUAUGACAGAAGCACAUCAUGCAAGGUAUUCUAUCCAUCCAGGGUCAACAAAAAUAUACUAUGAUUUGAAAAGAAUGUAUUGGUGGGGUAACAUGAAGAAGAACAUUGCAAAAUUUGUAGCCGAAUGUCCAAAUUAUCAAAGGGUUAAAGUAGAGCACCAAAAGCCCGGGGGUUAUAUGCAAUGUAUAGAUCUUCCAAUCUGGAAGUGGGAUAUAAUCAACAUGGAUUUCAUCACUGGUUUGCCUCGUACAUCUCGAAGGUUUGAUUCCAUAUGGGUGAUUGUUGAUAGGCUUACUAAAUCAACACACUUUUUAUCGGUUAGGAGCACUUACAUAGUUGAAGAAUAUACCAAAUUAUAUAUUAAGGAGAUAGUUCAUCUACAUAGAGUUCCAAUCUCUAUUAUAUCAGAUCGAGGAUCUCAAUUUACUGCAAAUUUUUAGAAGUCUUUCCAGAGAAAUUUGGGAACACAAGUGAAUCUCAGUAUAACUUUUCACCCUCAAAUAGAUGGACAAGCAGAACGUACCAUUCAAAUAUUCGAAGAUAUACUAAGAGCUUGUGUAUUAGACUUUAAAGGUAGUUGGGAUAAUCAUCUACCUCUCAUCGAGUUCGCCUACAAUAAUAGCUAUCAUUCAAGUAUCAAAAUGACACCAUAUGAAGCUUUAUAUGGAAGAAAGUGUAGAUCACCAAUUGGAUGGUUUGAAGCGGGUGACACUGGCUUGUUCGGGCCAGAUCUUGUUCAUCAAGCUAUGGAAAAGGUUAAAGUGAUCCAACGGCGGCUAGAAAUAGCCAAAAGUCGACAGAAGUCAUAUGCAGAUGUUAGAAGGAGGGGGCUGGAUUUUUUUAUAGGUGAUUGGGUAUUCUUGAAGGUAUCACCAAUGAAAGGGGUUAUGAGAUUUGGUAAGAAAGGAUAAUUAAGUCCACGUUAUAUAGGCCCAUACCAGAUUACUCGGAUGUUUGGCCAAGUUUCUUAUGAAUUAGAGCUACCCCAAGAGCUCUCAAUUGUUCAUCCGGUAUUUCACGUCUCAAUGCUUCAAAAGUGCAUUGGAGAUCCAUCUCAUAUUACCCCUACUGAAGAUUUACAAAUUACAGAAGAUCUCACCUAUGAGGAAAUUCCUAUUGCUAUUCUAGAUCGACCGGUUAAGAAGUUGAGGAAUAAGAAAAUAGCUUCUGUAAAAGUACUUUGGAGGAAUCAUCAAGUAGAAGAGAUCACAUGGGAAUCUGAAGAAGCGAUGAAAUCUAAGUACCCCCAUUUGUUCAAAUACGAAGAAAAAGUCCAAGAUGAUGAAUUGGAGAAAUAACAAGUGUAAAAUAUAUAGGUACUAUGUGGUAAUAGGGAUAUUAAACUUAGGCUUGAACUUGUUUUGGUUGGACAGUUAUUCUAACAUUCGAGGACGAAUGUUUCUAAGGGGGGAAGGAUGUAACAUCCUGUAUUUUACUUAUACUUAUUCUAAUUAUAUGGAACCUGGUAUGGUCUUAUAGGAUAGGUAACGGGUGACGUUUGUUAUGCAAGUAUUAAUGGCAUAGAUAGAAUUAUAUAUGCUGCCCGUCCAGUUUUUAUGUGAUGCGACCAAGUUAACGUCGAUACAACUAUUUAAACUUGGGAUCAUAAGCACUAAUUUGAAUUGGAAGUUUAAAGUGACCAAGUGUGUAUAAGUUUAAGGUUAGAUUAAAGGGAUUAGGAGCUGAAAAUAGAACAAAAUAUUGAGGUGCUUGCUUGACUUAAUUAAGCAAGUAGGCUAGUCACCUACUUGAAUUAUUUGGACCAAAUUAAUGGACAUAUGUCUAUGGACCAGAUUUGGGCCUAUACUGAUGUAAUGUACUCAUUUGGGCUCAAAUUGAAUAGAACAGAAAUAAAAUGGGUAUAUGGCCCAACACACACAAUCUGCCAAGGACCAAAUAUAAUUGAGUCCAACAAGAAAUUAAGCAAGUAGGUGCAUCACCUACUUUGAAGUUUCAGCAGCUUGGACCCUUAAGUAGGUGAUCACCCACUUGGGCUAAUUUAUGGCUAAAAAUGAGGUCAAUAAGAAAGGUUCUAGAGGGCCCAAUAUAAGCUCAAUAUUGCUGGCAAUUCUAUUCAUUUUAAACACAAUUUCACCAUUUUAAACUUCAGUUUUCUCUCUUUCUUAACAAAGGUUAAGAACAGCAACCCUAAAACUCCUUUUAGGGUUCUUGAAGAAACCCUCACUUUUGCAGCCCAAGGUAGGUGAAAACCCUUUAGUUUUUGUUUAAUUAUCUCAUGGAAGAUUAUGAAAAGAUGUUAUAAGUUCUUAAUUAUAAAUAUAUGGUAGAAUAUAGAACAAGCAAUCUGUUCACUUUUCUUUGGUAUUAAAGAACUUCUCUUUUCUUCUUUGGUUUAAAGUGUGAAGGAAAGUUUAAGUUCUUAAAGAGUUCAAUUAAAGGAAUAAGUUGCAGAAUUGAGGUAAGGUGACUUCUCCAUUUUGUUCUCCUUGUAUAUGAAUUUGAAAGAGAGUUAUGGACGUGUUGUUAUGAGAACUUAAGAGAUAAUGAGUUCAAUAAUGGGUUGCUACAAUAAGAGUGAUUUGGGACUGUUUUGUGGGCUGUUUUGUAUGUUCAUGUUAUGGGCUGCCAUAUUGAAGUUGGAGAAGGGUGUGAUUAGUUUGUAAUGAAAUAUAGAAGAAAGAUGUGGUGGUACACCACUGAACUAAUUGUUGCCCUUGCUUACUGCCCAAUGUGUUUUUGUGGGUUGUUUGGAGGGUGUAAUGAAGUUGAGGUAGUUCUGGUGAUCUUAUAAGGACAUGUAUGGUAUGUGGGUGUAAUUGGAGGAGAAAAGGGUUAAGAUAACGCCCUUGAUUGACAGAUUACGUGUUUACUGCCCGAUUACUAUUUUGGUGAAGUAAGUAGCCUAAAUGUGUUGGUUGGUUGCUAAUACUAGUUUACCAUAUAUUCUAUUGUAGAUAAGUAAUAUAAAUGGUGAGAAGUCAAGUCGGGUUAGUUUUGGAGCUAUAUAACCAGGUAUGUAAGGCAUACUCUGUUUUGUACUCUUUGGCAUGAAAUUAAACAUUUGUUCCAUCAAAUAAGUUUCCAAGGUUGUCCUAUAACAAGUGACACAUAAUAGCAGCGUAUUAUAUACCAAGAAGCCAACGACCUUGUUCCCACUCUUUAAUAUAUCAAAAUACCUCAAUACAUGUUUAUUAUUAAACCUGCACAUCUAUCUUCAUUUGAAAAUUUCAGAAGUUUUCCAUUUACUCAAUUAAGACCCAUGUGUUAUUUUAAGCUCCGAAACACUUCAUUGGUGUGCCAAUGGCUCUCUACUUCAUUUAUGUUGCAUUAAGUGCCUAUUUACAUGUCUCUUAGUGGCAGGUUAUUAUUUCAAGGUACCAUAAUGUGAUGACCACCAAAGUAACAAUCUUAAAGGCUAAAUAAACUAAGUAACGUAAAUCUGUAAAAGGAGUGGCAGCUUAGGGGCAUAAGCCUAGCAUGGGCUGAUCUCGAUACCUUAAUAUGUGGGUGGCAGCUUAGGGUCAUAAGCCUAGUAUGGGCCAAUCCCAAUCUUUAUAUGUAGGUGGUAGCUCAGGGGCAUAAGCCUAGCAUAGGCCGAUCCUAAUUUAUCUAUUUACCACUGAUCAGCUGAUCAUUUGCAUUACAUAUGGAUUACAAAUAUUAUGAAAUAAGAAAGGUAAAAAUGAAGAAAGGAACGUAAUGUAUGUAGUCCCACAAAUAUGUAUAUAAAAGUGGUCUACUAGUACUACUUAUACAUUUGUAUCUGAUUUCUAUUGAGCUCUUGUAUCGUUUGUUGUUACUUUUAGCCUUACAUAUUCAGUAUAUAUUUUCAUACUGACGUCCCUCACGGGGACCUGCAUUUCAUGCUGCAGGCACAGGUACUUCAGCUCAUACACCCCACUCGUAGGAGCGCAGGUUAUUCUAUCCAUAUUGGUGAGCUCCAGGUUAAUUCAGGGCUUUUCGAGUGUAUUCCAUAUGUUUUGGUAUUGUGCAAUAGGUUUGGGGGGGUUGUCCCGACCCUAACUAAGUCUAUGUAUAUUUCAGAGGCUUUGUAGACUAAUGUAAAGUUAUGGUAGUAUCUUUUUUUUAGACAUGUGGCCCCAACGGCCAAGUGUUGUAUAUAUUAGUUUGUGCUUGCAUGUGUAAUUAUUUUCAUCGAUACAUAAUAUCAUGUUUGUUAGAAUAUUUGGUUGUCAUAGUUACAUGCAUGGGAAGUACAAGGUUAUGAAUUGGUUCUCUCAGGCCUUUAUGGCUACGGGUGCCUGUCCGCCCCAAUAAGAUUGAGGCGUUAUAUCUUCAACUGUGUAAGUGGUCCUAAUCGGUUGAAAGUGUGCUGAUUUGGUAAGCCUAUGUAUAUGGAAUCAAACCUUUGAGAUGUCCGAGGAAAACCAGUGACAAAAUCCAUGUUGAUCAUGUCCCACUUCCAGAUUGAAAGAUCUAUACAUUGCAUAUGGCUUUUGGUGCUAUACUUUAACUCUUUGACAAUUUGGACAUUCGGCUACAAAUUCUGCAAUGUUCUUCUUCAUGUCACCCCACUAAUAUAUUCCUUUCAAAUCAUAAUAUAUUUUAGUUGAUCCCGGAUGGAUGGAAUACCUUGAAUGAUGUGCCUCUAUCAUAAUCCUCUUUCUUAGCUCAUCUACAUUUGGUAUACACAAUCUGUUUUGGCACCGAAGUACUCCCUCUUGCAUAAGCUCAAAUGCUUUCAUCAUACCACAUUGCAGAUUUUACUUAAGCUUUAAUAGAAUGGGAUCUGCAUAUUGCUUCUUUUUCACUUCAGCUACUAGUGAAGAUUCUGCAGCAUUAUGCACAAUAAGCCCCUCAUCUGGAGUUUCAAGAAGGCGAACCCCCGAAUUGGCUAAUUGGUGUAGAUCCUUAGUCAUCCCUUGUCGUUCUACAGACUGCCCAUAAGUGACCACCAUAGACUUAUGACUUAAUGCAUCAGCUACCACAUUUGCUUUUCCCGGAUGGUACAAAAUAUCAACAUCAUAGUCUUUUUAAUAACUCAAGCCAUCUUUGCUGCCUCAAAUUUAGGUCCUUAUGAUUAAAGAUAUAUUGCAAACUCUUGUGGUCCGUAUAUAUGUCAAUAUGAAUCUCAUACAAGUAGUGACGCCAUAUCUUUAAGGCAAAUAGUUGCUAGCUCCAAAUCAUGCGUUGGAUAAUUUUUCUCAGGUGACCGCAAUUGUCUUGAGGCAUAUGGUAUGACUUUACCAUGCUGCUUCAAUACACACCCUAAUCCAAUUCUUGAAGCAUCACAAUACACUGCAUACCCUUUUGUGCCUUCUGGAAGUACCAAUACGGGUGUAGAAGUCAACUUAUUCUUCAAAUCUUGGAAACUUCUUUCGCAUGCAUCAUUCCAUUGGAACUUGGAUGCUUUGUGUGUUAGCUUUGUUAAAGGUGCAGAAAGUGAAGAAAAUCCUCAACAAACCUUCUAUAAUAACCUGCCAACCCAAUGAAACUAUGAACCUCUAUAGGCGUUAUAGGUCUUGGCCAGUUCUUCAUGGCUUCUAUUUUUUAGUAUCAACCUUUAUUCCUUCAUCAGAUACAAUAUGACCUAGGAAUGCCACAGAUUUCAACCAAAACUCACAUUUGGAGAAAUUUGCAUAUAGCUUACGAUCACGAAGAAUCUAUAACACCUGUUGUAAGUUACUGGCAUGGUCCUUAUUUGAUCUCGAAAAAACCAGAAUAUCAUCUAUAAAAACUAUCACAAACACAUCCAAGAAUGGUUUGAACACCUUAUUUAUCAAAUCCAUAAAAGUUGCAGUUGCAUUAGUUAGCCCAAAGGAUAUAACUAGAAACUCGUAAUGACCGUACCGUGUUUGAAAAGAUGUCUUGGUUAUGUCCUUCUCUUUGACCCUCAUUUUUUGGUAACCAGACCUCAAAUCAAUCUUUGAAAACCACUUGGUGCCUUGCAAAUGAUCAAAUAAGUCAUCAAUUCUCGGAAAGGGAUAUUUAUUCUUAAUAGUCACCUUGUUUAGUUGCCGAUAGUCAAUACACAUUCUUAAUGAUCCAUCCUUCUUAUGCACAAAUAACACUGGUGCUCCCUAAGGGGACACACUAGGCCUUAUGAAUCCUUUUUCUAGAAAGUCUUUUAAUUGCUUUUUCAACUCCCGUAACUCUGCCGGAGCCAUUCUAUACGGAGAAAUUGAAAUUGGUUGAGUACCUGAAAUUACAUCAAUACCAAACUCUACUUUUUGUUCUGGAGGCAAACCUAGAAGAUCUUCAGGAAAUACAUUUGGAAAUUCAUUUACUACUGGAAUAGUUUGAAGAGUUGGUGGCUCAGCAUCUGUAUCCUUUAACCUAACUAGAUGACAUAUGUGAGCCUUCAAAAUCAUCAUUUUUGCCUUAAAAUAAGAAAUAAAUUUACCUUUUGGUGCACCAAUAUUACCCCUCCAUUCAAGGAUUGCCUCUUUUAGAAAAUGGAAAUACACCUUCUUAGUUUGGCAAUCUACUGUGGCAUAACAAGAAGCCAACCAAUCCAUACCCAUUAUAGCAUCAAAAUCUACCAUUUCUAACUCAACCAAGUCAGCCAUUGUAUCACGACCGCAAAUAGUUAUUAUACAAUUUCGAUACACUCUCCUAGCUAGAAUUAAUUCACCAAUCGGCAUAGAUACUUCAAGUGGCUUAACUAGCAAUUCUGGUAUUUUUUUGAACUUUCCAGCAACCAACAGAGUAACAUAUGAUAAUGUAGAACUCGGAUCAACUAAUGCAUAUACAUCAUGUGAAAAGAUGGACAAUGUACCUGAAACAUCUGAAGAAGCCUCUGAAUUUUGUCGAUCCGCUAAAGCAUAUGUACGAUUUCGAACUCCACUAGAGCUAGCUUCUCCUUUAGCACCUCUACCUGAAUAAGGCACUGAUGAUGAUGAUGCAAUGGCUGAUCCAUUAGGUCGUUCCAUACCACCUAUACCCCUUUGAGGGCAUUCUCUCAUCAUAUGUCCAGACGUACCACACCAAAAGCAAGCAUUUGUCCCAAACCGACAUUCACCUAAAUGAAGCUUUCCACUAUUUACAUGGCUUCCAAAGAGGCCUUAAUUAGAUCAUGCGUCCUUGCUCUUGAUACCCUGCUAUUCGUGAACUCUGACUCUUACUUCUUUGCCUAAAUUGGUUGCCUUUAGACCCUUGAAACUGUGGUGGAGCAUUAGCUACAGAAUAAGAAGAUAAUGGCCUAGGCGAUAUUAGAAAAUCAAGGCAUAAACUCUCCUUGGGAUGACAUAAACUGCCCCAUAGAUCUAGCCCUUUUGGAAUACCCUCUUUCCAAUUCUUGUGCUCUUCUUCUUUACCUCGAUCCUUUAUUUUUUAUGAAAAAGCUUUUAUCCUUGCUAUGUAUCUCUAACCAGAUAUGGAUCCAAUCUAUCCACAUAUCAAUGAACUCUAUCAUCCAUAGUAGCUACUACAUUAGGAGCAUAGCUAGCUAAAGAAUUAAACCAGAGGCUAUACUCUCUCACGCUCAUGUUCCCUUGGCGAAGAUUCAGGAACUGAUCCACACGGGUUUCUAGAAUCUCAAAUGGAAGGUAAUGAUCAAAAAAUGCCUCUUUAAACUCUUUCCAAGUAGCUGAAGGUGCAUCAAUACCCCUAGAUCGUUUCUAGUCUUCAUACCAAAAUAUAGCCUCCCCUUUGAAUCUAUAUGCUGCUAGCUCAACUGUCUCUUUACCUGAUAUAUGCAUGACCUCGAGAGCCCUUUGGAUUUGAUCAAUAAAGUCCUGUGGGUCUUCAUUAAGAUCUGAUCCGGUGAAUGUGGGCGGAUCUAAUUUAAGAAAAUUAUGCGUUCGCAGAAUAGCUGCCCUAUCUGCACCACUAGAACUGGUGGUUGGAAUGGCUUGUCUUUGAGAUUUUCUAGCAACUAUGAGAGCUAAUAAUUGUACUGCAUUCCUUAGAUCUUGGUCGGUAGCAUUAAUAGGUGGUUCUGAGGAUGCAGUUCUUCUCCUUCUUAGAUCUUUUGGAGAUGGAUGAGUUGAAGGAGUUUGGGGUACAAACUCAGCUUAAGCCUUGCUUUGAUUAUCCCAUCUAGGUAGUGAUUUGCUGGUCCCCUCUCCGACAGCCACGUCUAUUUGCUUACCUGUAUUCUUACUCCUUCUUGUAACCAACAUCUUUACUAUCAUAAAAGGAAAAAAAAUAGGUUCAAUAUUUAAAUAUGACUUCACCUACAACAUGGGCUCUAUUGCAUGAUCUAAGAUAUGAAGAAAAAGAAACAACCCCUAAAUAUCCCAUAGCCUCCUGUUUAUAGAUGUGAUGCACAACACACCCAUAAACAAGACUCUAUAUAGACACGUCUUUGUAGAUACCCUAGGACGACCUGCUCUAAUGCCACUUUUGUCACACCUCAACUUCUAUUGGGGCAGAUAAGCACCCGUAGCCGUAAAGACCUGAGAGAACCAAUUCAUAACCUUGUACUUCUCAUGCAUGUAACUAUGAUAACCAAAGGUUCUAACCAACAUGAUAUUAUGUAUCGAUGAGCAUAAUUACAUAAGCAAGCACAAACUUAUUGUAACAUCCCAUAUUUUUCUUGUACUUGUUCCAAUUAUAUGGAACCUGGUAUAGCCUUGUGGUAUAUGUAAUAGAUGAGAUUUGUUAUGCAAGUAUUAAUGGUGUAGAUGGAAUUAUAGAUGCUGCCCGUACAGUUUAAUGAGAUGCGACCAAGUUAACGUCGAUACAACUAUUUAAACUUGGCUCGUAGGUUUGUAUUUAAUCUGAAGUUUAAAGUGACCAAGUGUGUAUAAGUUUAAGCUUAGACUAAAGGGGUUAGCAGCUGAAAAUGGAACAAAAUAUUGAGGUUCUUACUUGCUCAGGGGCUUAAGCGUAGCAUGGGCUAAUAUCAAUACCUUUAUAUGUGGGUGACAGCUCAGGGGCAUAAGCCUAGCAUGGGCCGAUCCCAAUCUUUAUAUGUAGGUGGCAGCUCAGGGACGUAAGCCUAGCAUGGACCGAUCCUAAUUUAUCUAUUUACCACUGAUCAGUUGGUCGUUUGCAUUAUAUAUGGUUUAUAAAGAUUAUGAAGUAAGAAAGGUAAAAAUAAAGAAAGGAGCGUAAUGUAUGUAGUCCCACAAGUAUAUAUAAAGGUGGUCUACUAGUACUACUUAUACACUUGUAUCUGAUUUCUAUUGAGCUCUUGUAUCGUGUGUUGUUAGCUUCAGCUUACAUAUUCAGUACAUAUUUUUGUACUGACGUCCCUCAUGGGGGACCUGUAUUUCAUGCUGCAGGCACAGGUACUUCAGCUCAUACACCUCACUAGUAGGAGCACAGGCUUUUCAGUGAUUAUUGGUGAGCUCCAGGUUGAUUCGAAGCUUUUUGAGUCUGUUCGAUAUAUUUUCGUAUUAUAGUGAGUCAAAAGUAGGGUGGGGGUUUGUCCCAACCCUAACUAAGGGCCCAUUUGGGAUUGCUGUUGCAAAACUGCUUAUUUGAGAAGCACUUUUAUAAAAUGGCUUUUCAAAAAAGUGCUUUUAAAAAAAAAGCAGUUUGUGUUUGGUAAAUUCAUUCAAAAGUGCUUUUGAUAAUCAAAUUAUGUUUGGAUAAUGUUUUUCAAGAAGUGCUUUUUUGAGACAAAUGACCAAAAAGAACAUCUAUCAAUAGACUUUUAUUACUAAAAUCAAUUUAAGAGAAAAAUUAUUUUAAAUAUCUAUUAUAAUAUUCUUAAUUAAUUUUUUUUAUUUAAUUAAAAAGUACAUACUCUAGAAUUUUCAAUCAAUAUUUAUAUACAUAAAUACAUUAAAAUAAAUAAAUAAAUAAAUAGUGAUAUAUUACUUAAAUAAUUUAAAUAUUACUUAAAACAUCAAACAAAAAUGAAUAUAAAAGUUAUUUCAUAAAUUAAAUCACUACAAUGAAAAAAUUAACGAUAAAAAUAAUUGGUCCUUCAUCACAAAUAUUCUCAACAUUACUCAUUUUCUAUGCAUUAGAGAUAUAUGAUUAAUAAUAAUAACAUUACACUAAAUAGUGAAAUAAAAAUAUUAUUGUCAAAAUAAAAACUUAACAAAAUCAAAGAAUUUCAUAGACAACGAUAUUAUCACAUAUGCUAUUAUAUGUAUACACAUAAAAAAUUUAAUUAUAUCAUGAUAAUUAUUAAAAAAACAUACCUUCAAAUGAGAAAGCAAUUUUGAUUCAAAAAAUAACUUAUUAAUAAUAGAGAUGACUUUAUAUUUUGGAGAGUAGUAAAAUAUAUGUAUAAAUGAGAAAUAUUAUCUAUAUUUAUAGAUGAAGGAGAAGGUGUGCAAUACGCUAAACUCGUUGAAUGAAUAGAAGGUUUGAAAAAAAAGUUAAAUAAAUAUUUGAUUAGAAUCUAUCUUCUUUUUGUUACCUUAUUUUUUGGAUUCAUUUUACUUUGUCAAAUUUACUAAAAUUUAGUAAACACUAUAUUCAUGUUUACAAAUAUCUAAAUGAGAUAAUAUUUGUUAUUUUUUUCCUUUUCUUUUGGAUAUGUCUUUACCAUUUCAAUUCUAAAAUUAAGUAGCCAAAUUCAUAUACGUAUACUACCUAAUGAAAAAUAUUUAAAAUAAAAUUCUAUCUAUUUGUUAUCUUUUUCUAAUAUAUUUUUAUGGUUUCAAAAUUUACAAUGAAUAAGAAGUCAUCAUAUUCAUAUAUAUAUAUAUAUAUAUAUAUAUAUACACUAUAUACGUACACUACCUGAUGACAAAUAUUUAAAAUAAAUUUCUAUUUAUUAUUUGUUAUCUUUUUUUUAAUAUAUUUAAAAUAUAUAUAUAUACACACACACACACACACACACUAUAUUUUAACAAAUAUGUCACUUUUAUGAAUUACUUAUUGAAAAUUAAAUAUUCGAUAAAAAAUUUAUAUGUGAUGUCAAAGUACAAUCUUGUAACAUGAUUCAUUUGUCAAUUGUUAUCAUUAAUGAUAAUAAAAUAACUUAUAUAUUCUUUAGUCAUCAUCAUCAAUGAUAUUUUCAAAUUUAUUUAAAGAAAAUGAAUGAAAAUAAAAUAAAAAUAUAUAAAUCAUAAAGAAUUAAACGUUAAUCAAACUUGUAAGAUAUGCUAAUAUAUAUAUAUAUAUAUAUAUAUAUAUUUGUGUGAUAGGGAUAAUUCUAUCAUAAAAAAAUAAUUUUGUACUUCUGUUUCUACUUUUUUUAGAAGCAGAAAUUUUCUGCUUCUUCCCAAAAGCAGAAAAACUGCUUCUGCUUAUUUUUAAAAGAACUUUUGAAAGUUUACCGAAUAUGCUAUAAGUCUAUGUAUAUUUAAAGGCUUUGUAGACUAAUGUACAGUUAUGGCAGUGUUUGUCUUUAGACGUGGUGGCCCCAACGACCUAGUGUUGUAUAUAUAAGUUUGUGCUUGCCUAUGUAAUUAUUCUUAUCGAUACAUAAUAUCAUGCUGGUUAGAACCUUUGGUUGUCACAGUUACAUGCAUGAGAAGUACAAGGUUAUGAAUUGGUUCUCUUGGGCCUUUACGACUAUGGGUGCCUGUCCGCCCCAAUAGGAGUUGAGGCGUGACAAAAGUGGUAUCAGAGCAGGUCGUCCUAGGGUGUCUACAAAGUCAUGUCUAUAUAGAGUCUUGUUUAUGGGCAUGUUGUGCACCACAUCUAUAAACAAGAGGCUAUGGGAGAUUUAGGGGUUGUCUUUUUUUCUUCAUAUCUUAGAUCGUGCAAUAGAGCCCAUGUUAUAGGUAAAGUCAUAUUUAACCAUUGAACCUAUUUUUUUUUCUCUUAUUAAAGUAAAGAUGCAGAUAGACGUGGCUGCCGGGGAAGGGACCAACAAAUCACCACCUAGAUAAGCUAAUCAAAGGAAGGCUUAAGCUGAGUUUGUGUCCCAAACUUCUUCUACUCCUCCAUCUUCAGAAGAGCUAAGGAGGAGAAGAACUGCAUCCUCAGAACCGCCUAUUAAUGCUACUGUGAUCUAAGGAAUGCGGUGCAAUUAUUGGCUCAUAUAGUUGCUGGACAAGUGAUAACCUAAAGGACUAUCAAACAUGAAAUGGACACUAAAGGAACAAAAAUUAGCAAGUUUACAUAGAGAAAACAACACACUAAAAGAAGAUGAAGAAGAAGAAUUACAUGAAAUUAAAGAUAGAUAGAGAGACCCUCACUUCCACCAAUGAAUAGCACUAGAAGAUGUAUCAAACCUUCAAACAUACAUCACCAAUGUAAGAUCAAACCACUCUCUUAGGUGACCCAAAGGAAACACUUUUCCUCAAGCAUACCUUUCUUGCCAAAUUUCCCAAUACAAGUGAACCCCUAACUUCAAAUGUAUUCAAGGAACUAAUUUCAGGUUUGAGAGCUAAAACUAUAAGACUAAAGCUACAAUCUAAGAAUAAUAUCCAAUUUCAGCAAAGUCUAAUGAAAAAUAAGCCUAAGGAGUCUAUUUAUACUUAUUACAUUAAAGACCAAAAGACCCUUAAUGAAAAGGGGCUCCUAUGGAGUGUAAAGAAAAAGCAUAAAAAGACCAUUACACCCUUAAUGAAUGGGUGAUCAUAUAGUGUUUUGAUGUGGUCUUCUUUACACUUUAACAUAUGACUUUCCUUGAGUCUUUUUGGUCUUCACAAUUAUUCUUCAACACUUGGACCUCUUGGGCAUCUCAUCAAGGCUCCAAGCAACCUUUCAUACACGGGAUUGUUCUAACAAGGAAGCCCAAGAUUGAUCUUGUAGGAACAAUAUCAAGCCAUGCUUUGAUACCAAAUGAUACAAGAAUUACAAGGACAACAUGAAACACACUUCAAAAUCAGCCCUCAAGAUCAAAGAUCCGAGGACCCUUUUGAAGACCACUCUCGGAUUCGUUAUCAACCACACAAUAACAAGAUAAAAAGGUGUUUUUUCAACACCAAAACAGCCAUAAUAUAAUAUGAACAAGAUUAAUACAAUGGUUACAAAAUUUGGAUUCAACAAGUCACAUAAACAGUCCACUAUGAAUCUACAAAGUGCAAUAAGAUAAAGAUAGGUAGAUAGACCAAAUGAGGGAAUAAUAUUAACAACCCAAGACUUGUACUCUUGUAAAUUUAAUACUACACACAACAAAAACCUAUUUCUUAUUUGGUACAAGAGUGACCUCGAUCUCCCAAGCAUCCAACGUUUCCAAGCUUGAAUCCAACAUGAGUGAUCCACACUUAAGUUGAUUUCCCUAGUUACAAGUUUCAGAUUUGUGGUCUUCUCUCCUUAGAGAGUAAAUGUUUCAAAGUGUUAUACUACAUCCAUAUUCAGCAAAGUCCCCUAACAAAUGACCUAAAAGGUUUCUUAUAUAGUAGUUUACAAACAAGGUGUGAAAUGUCCAAAAUGACCCCUUAGUCUCAAGUUUUCAAGUGGGUGCCCUUGGAGAGUAUUAUAUGUCCGGUUUUGGACCCUUUUAAGUCCUCAUUUGCACUUCACUUUCACACUCCAAGUUCGAGUUCAAUACAUCUCACAAACAUACAUCCUCGUGGUUAUACCCGUAUAAUAGGUAUAGCCCUUUCGCUCAAAAAACUUAUGAGACAUAUGAUGAGAGUACACGUGAGGAGUGUGAAUAUUCAUAUUCUCAACUUGUAGUACUUCUUAUCAAGGUCGAUAUAGUGUGAAUGGGUAUACUAGCUAUAGUGGAGGUUGUCCAAUGAGAAGAAGAGGGUAUGCAUCUCCAAGACCAAGGGGUACUCGUAUGCCUUACAAUAUUGAUCCAAGAAGGAGUGUACACUUCGUAAAGGUGACCAUUUGUGGGAUACCGGGCUACCUCGUUGUGUUAAAUGAUAGGUACUAUAGAAACUACAUUGUUCCAUCCAUGGUUGACUACUUGGGGGUUGUUUUGCGAUCCUUUACUUGUUCCAUACUUCUUGGACGAGUUCAAGGUUACCGAGAGGGUAAAAUUUAUCUUCUCCCAAUAUGAAUACCAUGUGCGAUAUUCUUCCCUUGGCCUACGGUCAUGUAUACUUAGGCGCCGAUUGGUUUGCACAACAUCAAGUUCUUAAUGUGGAAAAUUGGCCUAAUGUUGUAAGAGACCAAUGGGGAAAUCGCCUCAUGACUUACUGCCCAAGACACAAAGAGAAAUGCCUACCUAAUCUAAUCCAAAUAAUUAUGAGAGACAAAAGAUUGACAGGAGUAAGGGAGUGCACAGUGGUAAUCUAAGAGUGGAAAAAGAAGAGGUUAUGUGGAGCGAAGUGAGGGGAUUACCACCAAACUGUGCUAACAUUGGUUGUCCUUCUAUUUCUAAAGACAUUUGUGUAGGUACCAACAUGGAAAACGAAGAUGAACAAUGCCAAAAGAAAGUUGCUUCCUAAGCUUUUGGAGGGCCUUCACACCAUGGCAAAGAAAAAUCUACUUAAGGACUUUAAGGUAAAAUGGCUAACUCUUAAACUUAUGUACAUGUGAAUGAUAAUUGUGUGGCUAGUAGCCCAUUGAGUGUGAGUUGUAGCUUUCCUAUAUAUGAGUCUAUUAUUUCUUUGCCAAUUGAUGAUGAUGUACAUGUUGUGAGUUUGGAUACACUAGUUGAUCCUAUUGAUGACCGAAUCGACUCUUCUUGUAAGAUCGAUUUAUGUCCACCUAGUGUUGAAACCAUUAUGUCAAUAAAAGUACAUUAUCUUUUGAAAUUUGUGUUGAUCAACUUAUAUGUGAAAAUUACCCAUCACUUGAGGAUGUGUAUAAUGUAAUUAAGAACCUCAAGUGUGUGAUGAUUUUGAAAAUGUUGAUCAAAGGAAUAGGAGUGAACUCGAGGACUAUUCUUGGGAUAAUCUUGCACUUGAAAUCUCUUUGAAACUUAAUAUCGAUCUUUUAGAGAGCGAUGAACGUGUUUGUUCUGAAUCUGCCCAUGAAAUAGAUCAUGCUCUCUUUAGGUAUAAUGUCUUGUUUAAAUAUGAUAUAACCACUCCUAAUGAACCUAGUGGUGAAAAUGAUGGUAUAUCUUGCCUUAGAAGCUAUAGCCGAUAUGCUAACCCACUAUGGUGUGACAAUAUUUCUACUAAAUAUGGAAAUCACUUCUUGGAAGAUGACAGUACUCUUAAGGGUAAGGGAUGUGUAGUCUUGGAAACUACUUCUCCUUUUACUUUAUGUGAUUUUAUUAUUGAGAGUACUCAUGGUGAUGAUUGUGAAACUAGUAGUGAGUACACACAUGACCUUAGUAGAAGUUGACUUAGUGAUACCUUUCUCUACUCUCUAUUUGCUUUGAAUAAUGUACAUGCUAUUGUAGAGAGUAUGCCAUUUAGUUUGGGUAGAGACCACGGGAAAGUGGAGUGUUGUCUAGACCCGUGUCGAUGGCCACUCUUCCCAUUUGACCCCGAUGCCAAAUAUAGAUUUUAUGAUGAUGCGGCACCCAACUUGUUGCUUGGUUUACAUGAAAAGCAAAGUAUCACUUUUGGUAAAUUCCAUAAACAAAUCCUUUGUGCAUUUUUAUUAAUUAUUUAAUAUUUAGUUCAAGGGAUCCUUGGUUAUAUUCUAAAUAUGUGCAACCUUGGAAUGUUGAGGUGAUUUUUCGUGCUAACCCUAACCCUCAUUCCAUGAGGAGUUUGUAUUUGUGUGUCCUUUCUUUAGUUUUCUAAGGUUUGGAUUUGAGGUCGAAUUCUUUUCAAGAUGGGGAGGAUGAUAUGAGUCAAAUGGCCACCUUAGCUUUUGAUGACAUCUUUAAAGGCCAACACGUAAAGGCUCAAGACUUGGUCACCCCGAGAGCACAAGGAUACGCAAGGAAGGAUCAUUUUGAGCAUGACUUAAAGCAAUCUCGUGUGUGGAAGGUUGCUUGGUUGCUUACAUUGAUGCUAACCCGAGGACCAUAAGCCUUGAAGUAUGAACCAUACUCGGUUUUUGAUAGCAUUGAAAAGGCGCCAUUCACUCAAGUUAUAACAUACCUUGGCUGCCCCUUCAUUAAGGGUAUUUUAUACAUUACAUAUGGUGUAUUUGCACACCAUGGCAGCCGCUCUCAUUAAGGGGAAAGUGGUCUUUUUAUCUUCAUUUGUAAUAUAUUAUAAAUAGGCCCCUUUAGUCUUAUUUUCACUAGUUUAUGAAAGAUGAAAUAUUGAAACACUUAAAAUCCUCUCUCUUGAGAGUAGACCAACUUAGUGUAGUUCUAGUAUAGGAUGAAAAUGGAGCUCUGUGAAUUCGGAACCUCGAAUGAAAACCCACUUAGUCAACAUAUUGGUGAUAGAUACAAAUUUGGUACGUAUCAAAAACAAGCCAAAAAUAGUCCACAAACAAAGGGAAACCCGAGAGCUCAACAAACACUAAAUCUCGGUUCCAACAACAUCAAGAAACCAGGUGUAAAUGACACCAAAAGCACUAACAAUAACAAGAGAUAAACAACAAUAACGAGAGGAACAACACUACAAUAACAACAAUCUAACGGUUACAAGAUUACAAGAACAAUAAGAACCAAACGGUUCACUAAACUACACAACCAGUACAUGAUAUGUAAAGAUAGGGAGUGAGACAUACACUAUUACAAGGUUAAGAACCCAAAGAUGUAUUAAAUCUAAGGACCCCUAAGACUUACAAUAGCAAUGCCACACUCUUACGUGACACAAGAGGGAUUCCACCGCUCAAGCACCAAUGUUUCCAAGAAAUACACAAUCACAAGUGAAUCCACACUUGUUCAUGUCCUAGUUUAGGCCUAGAGACCCUCUCUCUCAACAGAUGUGUUCUUUCAACAAUAUCCAACAAAAACUUAUGAACUAAAACCCUAUAUUGUUCUAUUUAUAGUACUUUACAAAUAAAAAGAUAAAAUGAUAGAAAGGCCCUUUAAUGAUCAAGUAGGCAAAUAGGCACCCAUGGAGUGUUUUUUGGGGCGGUUUGGAGCCCUUUUUUAACACUUCAACUCGUACACCUCCGAGGUUACAUCCAAAAUACUCAAAAACAUUCAUCUCCAUGAUAGUGCUUGUAUCAUCCUCUCCAUUUUGAGAGGAAUUUGACCUCAAAUUCAUGGCACUAGCCAAAUGAAAAUGGCUCCAAAACAAUCCACAAAAUAAGAAGAAACCGAGAACACAACAAUUUCAAGUCUCGGCCAACGUCUUCAUUUUGUACCUUGGCUUCCUCUCCAUCUUGAGAUUUGCCUUCAAUUUCAUCCGGCUCAAUUGAGUUUAGCCAAGAAGUUUCACUACAAAACAACAAAUGGGUUAGUGGUAAAAGAAAGGUCCUCAAGGGUGUUAUCUUAACCUCUUUUCUUCUCUAAUUACACCCGCAUACCAUACAUGUUCUUAUAAGAUUCACAAAAACCACUUCAGCUUCAUUACACAUUCCAAACAAUACGUAAAACAGAUUGCACAAUAACAAAUGUAAUAAUUAGUUCGGUGGUGUACCACCAUACCUUUCUUCUAUAUUUCAAUCUGAAUUAGUCACACUUUUAUCCAACAAAAACCUGUCAGCCCACAACAUAUACCCACCAAACAUUCCUCAAAACGGCCAAAUUUCUUUUAUUAUAGCAAUUAUUUAUUAAACUCAUUAUCUCUUGAGUUCUCAAUAACAACACAUUUAUAAUGCUCUAUCAAAUUCAUAUACACGGAGAAUAAAAUGGAUCAGUCACCUUACCUCAAUUCUGCAACUUAUACUUUUAAAUUUGAACUCCUUAAGAACUUCAACUUUAACUUUCCUUCAGACUUUAAACCAAAGAAGAAAAGAGAUAUCUUAAUAACCAAGAAAAAGUGAGCAAGUAGUUUGUUCUAUAUUUUGUCGUGUAUUUAUAAUUAGGCACCUAUAGCAUGUUUUCUCAAGCUUCCAUGAGAUAAUUAAGCUAAAACAUAAGUGUUUUCACUUACCUUGGGCUGCAAAGGUUGGGGUUUCUUCAAGAACCCUAGAAAGGAAAAUAGGGCUGCUCCUAGAUUCUUAAAAGGAAGUAGAGAGAGUUUGUGAAGUGUAACCUUUUUUUAUGACUUAAUAAUGAGGGAAAUGACCAGCAACUUCUUCUUAUAAAGCCUCUUUUUUUGGCCAUCCACCUAGCUGAUUUUGGACAACAAAUUUAAUCAAAUUGCUCUAAGUAGGUGAUGCACCUACUUAAGGAUUUGAAGCAGCUCAAAAUGUCAAAGUAGUGCUUAAUUUCUUAGUUGGGCUCAAUUAUAUUUGGGCCUUGGUAGAUUUGAGCAUUGGGCCUUUUUUCCAUUUUUCUUCUUGUUUUACUUAAUUUAGGCCCAAAUAAGUAUUCUAAUAAAGGCCCAAAUCUGAUUCAUGAACUUGGUCCAUUAACUUGGCUCAUAUAGCUCAAGUAGGUGACUCACCUACUAGAUUAAUUAAUUCAAGCAAGCACCUCAAUAUUUUGUUCCAUUUUCAGCUCCUAAUCCCUUUAAUCUAACCUUAAAAUUAUACGCACUUGGUCACUUUAAAAUUUAGAUUCAAAUACUAGCUUAUGAUCCCAAGUUUAAAUAGUUGUAUCGACGUUAACUUGGUCACAUCAUAUAAAAACUGCACGGGCUAAAAUGCUAGAAGUAAAAUUGACUAGUGAAGUUAAAGAAUUAAACGUAGAAGUAAAGAAACCAAGUAAGAAGUUGUUGGAUGCCCAUGCUGCAUAAAAUGCUAGAAUAGAAAUGUUAAUUAAGUCCUUUUCACCAAAGCCUGCUUCCUCAUACGUAAUAUACCUAUUCUCCUACUCAACCCUAUGUAACUUCCACUCAUUGUUAUUAUGUGACUUUUAAAUAAAAUUUGUUGAUUGUUUUAGUAUACUAAAGUGGUACUUAACUUCUUAACAAUGAAUGGAUUAUGAUUUGUGUGCUUACUUUGUUCUCUCUACUAAAAUUGUUCUUCAUGUUAGUAUUGCCCUGUGACCAUGAGUUAAGCAAUCUGAACUUACAUUACUUUUGGCUUACUGUACUUUCUUUUCAUUGAUACCAAAAGGGGGAAUACUAAGUUCAUAUAGUAGGGACCAAGUACCAGGUGAAUUGAGUUUUAGAUUUGAAUGGCAUGAUGAUUAGGGGGGAGUAAAUAAUAUGCUAGUGAUGUGCUAUAUAGAUUACUAUAGGAAGACAUGUUGACAGGGGGAAGUUUGCAAAUGCACCAAAUGAAGGUUCAUGAUGAUAGGGGAAGAAAUCAAUGUUUUUGUUGCAUAUAAAAACAAGGGAUUAGGUCCCUGUGUUGCAUCAUAGUGGAAGCAUAAUGAUAGGGGACUAUUUAUCUUCAGAAUGGUAAGCACAAUUAUAAAUGUGAUAGAUGUUCUAAAAGUUAUAUGGUUGGUUUAUAAUCAUCAAAAAAGGGAAAAAUUGCUAUAUGUAGUUUUGAUGAAGAGAAGCUAACUGCAAGGGACCAGGUCCCUAGUGUUCAUGGUGUUGUACAAUUGGCACACAUGUCUGCAUAGUUUUAUUCUCUUAUGUAACAAACUUGCAGGUGCUGCUUUUACUAUAUAGGACAACCAGUCUAAUGAGAUUUCAGCCCUAAUCAUCACCCUACAAUAAAAGAAAAAAGUGGCUUCUUCAUCAAUUAGUUUUUCACAAAUACAAAGUGUUAAGAGAGGUAGCAAAAACCCCAUCUCAACACUUCUCAGGUUCAUAGUUGUUUAUGUGUGCUUAAAUAGAAAUUUUUCUUGAGUGAAUUCUAAUUUGUAAAUGAAUUACUCAGGUUAUAAGAGUAAUGAACUUUUCGCUUUGAGUAGAGAGUGCUUAGGUAGAGUUACCUAAGUUUGAUACUAAUUAGAGUUAAUCAGUGUAGAGGGUCCUUGGUAGAGUUGUCAAGAUGAGCUUGUAGUAGAGUUAUUACAAGUGAAAAGAACCUAGAUUUAUGUUCAUUAAAGGUUGUAAUCAAGAGUUUAAUUAUUGAGGAUUUUUGAGAGCUUAUGAGGGCAAGCCGUGGUUUUUCCCUUCCUUGAGAAAGAGGGGGUUUCCACGUUAAAAUCUUGUAUUUUUACUUUCCUACAUUGUCUUUUGAUUCCUAGUUAAUUUACUAUAAUUUGCCUGUGAUUAACUUUGAGGUACCUGAUCCCUCACUGUAGGGUGCAACCCUUAGGGUUUCAAUAUUUAUGAUAGACUAGGCUAAGGAAUCUAAAUCAACUCUUAGGUGUAUAGCAAGUCACACUUAUUCCUAAGGUUUGGUCCUUUCCAAACACUAUAUCUAAUUAAUUCAAAGAAACUAAGGCAGUUCCAUUAGUGUCAGCAUCUAAGGCCUAAUUUACUCUAACAAUGAGUGACAAGGUCACUCCCAUCCAACAUGAGAAAUAUAAAGCACUCGCAUGCUAAACAUAAGCCAUUAUGUCUAAUUCACCAAGGUUAAAGCCAACAAAUUAAGCAAUCAAACUAUAUGGUCUCAAAUGAAAUAAAUGAUCUAAAUAAUCCCAAGUCUUGCAUUUCAUCAAUCCAAUAUCUAAAACUAAUCCUAAUCUGAUAGGAUGUCACAAAUAUACUAUGACAUAGUGUAACACUAUGGAUUUUUGGUCCUUGAAAAUUUCUAAAAUUUUAUCCUCACUGACCAAACUAGGAUUCUCUAUACGAGUCGUGCGGAGUCUUGACAGGUCUUAAGGACGUAAUUGUAGCCUUGCCAAUAGGUUGUCCUAGAGUUUUUAUCUUGACUAUGACUUUGACCCUAUGAUUCAUAGGGUCACAUAGUGGGACGUAUGAUGUCUUUCGUAGCCUAACCAGUGUGAUACCGAAAUUGUUUCAGCUUUGACAACGACUGGACUAAGAGAGUCAUAAUAAAUGAGUAUGAGUCAUAUGGUAUGACUCAUAGGGUAACCCUAUGAGUUAUAAGGUCACCCAUAGUGACUGGGCGGUUAACUUUCAGUCUUUUUAGUAAGGGCAUUCCGGUUAAUUCCCUUUUUUCCUUACUUAGACCCAUGACCAAAAAGCACUCUAGGGGGUUAUUUCUCAUUCAUAACACUAUCAAAAGCACUCAAAAACUCUCUAAAUUCUCUCAAUCAAGAUACUUAGGGUUUCUAAGAAUUUCAUCAAUUAGGGCUUUAGGGUUGAUUUCUCCCCAUAAAACUUUGGUGUUUCAGGCAUGUUACUCUUCCCUAAUUAUUACUUUAUGAACAGAAUAUGUUUAAAUGGAUUAAUUGAAUGGUUUUGAAUGUGGGUUUUGAUGUGAUUGAGGGUUUUGACAAGGUUGAUUCCAAAAUUAUUUUCCCAUGAUUUAUUAAUAAUUAUUUAUGCUUUAUUAAUGGUUUUGAACUUUGGGGUGCAGGGGUAUUGAUAUGGAAAACAAAGCUAGAAACCGAAAUUAUAACUAAAGAGAGGAGAUGAAGAUGAUAACAAUAACACAAGAUGAAACAAGACACAUAAUCAACACAAACACUAGGGAAAUUGCAUAGAAAAUAAAGAUAGAUAGUGAGACCAAGAUUAUUACAAGAUUAACAAUCAAGUUUAUUUCAACACUAACCCUAAAUGAAUGUAAUAAUUAAAACCACACUCUUACGGUGACUGCCAAGGUAAUCAAAUCACCUCAAGAUCCACUGUUUUCAAGCAAACAACAAUAUUGGCUUUUCCAAGCCCUAUACUAAGGAUGACUUUUUCAAGUCCUAACUAAGACUAAGGUGGUCUACUCUCAAGAGAGAGGAUUUUCAAGUGUUUCAAUCUUUCAUCAUUCAAAACUAAUGAGAGAAGACCUAAAAAAAUCCUACUUAUCGUAUAUCACAAAAGAAGGCAAAAAAGACUACACUAUCCUUAAUGACCAAGGGUUGCCUUGGUGUGUUGGAAAAUAAUAUGAAUUGUCCAAAAUUCCCUUAAGGAUAAGUGACCAAAAUUCUCUUGAUAAAGGGCACCAAAACCGUGAACCAACAAAGGUGGUCCAAACCCGAGAGUCCUUAAGUCUUCAAGGCUCCAAGCAAUCUUCCACACUCGGGUUUGAUCUGGUAGGCUCAAAACGUCCCCUCCAAGUAUGAUCCCGUGCCCUCCAUGUGACUAAAGCUUGAUUCUUCACAUAGUGACUUUGAAUGAUGUCGUCGAAAGCUAAGGCGGCCAUUAUUCUUGUAUCAUCCUCCACUUCUUGAAAAGGAUUCGACCUCAAAUCCAAAUCUUGCAAAAUCGAAGAGAGGGCAAACAAAAAAAACUCAUGGCAUGAGGGUUAGGGUUAGCACAACAAAUCAUCUCAACAUGCCAAGGUUGCACAUAUUUGCAAUAUAACCAAGGAUCCUUUGAAUUAAAUAUUAAAAGCUCAAUAAAAGGUGCACAAAAGAUUUGGUUACGGGAAUCACCAAGAGAUAAAGAAACUACAUAGGUCCUAAUGACAUCAAAUAAUCCAUAAGGUAGAACUUCCUUCAUCUUAUGAGCUAUAAGACACCAUUGCUUCUUUAUAUCGUCAAAAGACCACACCAAGGGGGGGUUUCGAUUGGUUCUAAAGCCCAUAAAAUCCAUAUAGUAUUAUCACGCACACAUGGACAGACCAACAAACUUCCUAUCUCGACAUAAAAUAAAUCCAAAACUAGCAUGGACGGCAUUAUAGGCAAAGAGGUAGUAUAGGAAAGAAUCACGUGCAAAGGCAUUCAUGGGUGAAGAAUAAGCAUUUAAACACAUACACAUUCUUUCCUUCAAAUAACUAGACAACUUGGCAUCCACAAGUUGGAAUUCAUGCAAUUUAGGCAUAAGUGUGUCAAACAAAGAUGCACAUUUAGGAACAUUACCCCAAGGAGUCAUGACACCUUUUCCCUCGGGUUUUUAAGAAAGACUACAUAUUUCUUACCCUUAAGAGUACUCUCAUCUUUCAAAAAGAGAUUUUCAUCUUUAGGAGGAAUGUUGUCACACCAUAGUAACGCAUAUCGACUAUAGCCUUCAAGGCAAGCUAUACCACCAUUCUCACCACUAGGUUCAUUAGGAGUAUUUAAAUCAUCUUUAAACAAGAUAUUAUACCUAAAGAGAGCAUGAUAUAUUUCCAAGGAAGAUUCAGAACAAACACGUUCAUCACUCUCUAAAAGAUCAAUAUCAUGUUUCAAAGAGAUUUCAAGCAUAAGAUUGUCCCAAGAAUGGCUCUCGGGUUCACUUCCAUUUUAGUGACCAAUAUUUUCAUGUACUUUACUCACUUGAGUUCUAUUAAUCACAUCAUACACAUACUCAAGUGGUGGACAAAUUUCACAAGUAAGUUGAUCAACACCGAUUACACAAGAUGAUGUAUUUCCGUUCAACAUAUAGGUUUCAAUACUAGGUGGACAUAAAUUAACCUUACAAGAAGAGUCAAUUUGGUCAUCAAUAGGAUCAACUAGUGUAUCCACACUCACAAUAUGUACAUCAUCAACAAGAGACGAAGAAUCAUUUGACUCACAAGUAAGUAAGCUACUACUUACACUUAAUGGGCUACUAGCCAUACGAAUAUCAUUCUCAUGCACCAAAGUGUAAGAGUUAGCUAUUUUACCUUGAAUUUCUUGAGUAGAUUCUUCUUUGCCAUGGUGUGAAGGUCCUCCAUAAGCUUGGGCAGCAACUUCCUUUUGUCAUUGUUCGCCUUCGCUUGCCAUGUUGGUACCUACACAAAUGUCCUUAGAAAUAGAAGGACAACCAGUAUUAGCACGGUUUGGUGAUAAUCCCCUUACUUCGCUCCACACAACCUCUCUUUUUUCCACUCUCGGAUUACCACCUUGCACUCUCUUACUCCUCUCAAUCUUUUGUCUCUCAUAAUAAUUCAGAUUGGAGUAGGUAGGCACUUCUCUUUGUGGCUUUGGCAGGAGUAAGUUAUGAGGCGAUUCCCCCAUUGGUCUUUUACAACACNNNNNNNNNNNNNNNNNNNNNNNNNNNNNNNNNNNNNNNNNNNNNNNNNNNNNNNNNNNGGGAAAGGGAAGAACAUCUCACCACACCUCCUCAUGGUAUUCAUAUUGGGAGAAGACAACUUUUACCCUCUCGGUAACCUUGAACUCGUCUAAUGAGUAUGGAACAAGUAAAGGCUCUCAAAAAAACCCCAAGUAGUUGACCAUGGAUGGAAGGAUGUAGUUUUUAUAGUACCUAUCAUUCAACACAAUAAGGCAGCCCGGUAUCCCACAAAUUGUCACCUUUUCGGAGUGUAUACUCCUUCUCGGAUCAACUUUAUAAUGCACACCAUCUUCUUCUCAUUAGACAACCUCCACUUGAACUAGUAUAACCAUUCACACUAUAUUGACCUUGAUAAGAAGAACUACAAGGUGAAGGAUAUGAAUCUUCACACUCCUCACUUGCACUCUCAUUAUAGAUCUCAUAAGCUUUACGAAUGAAAGGGUUACACCUAACACCAAAUCUUGGUUCGGAGUGAGAAGUGUAAGACUCCUCACAUGACCCAACAUCAUAAGAACAUUCACGAGGUCCUAAAUCAUCUCCAAACUCACCAUAAGCACUAGCACUUCAUUCACCUCAUUUUCUCCCUUAAAACCGCAACUCCUAAAUCUGCCCAAGAAAGUUCAUGGCUAUUUUCAUAGCCUCUGCAAACUCCCUCAACGUCGUAGCCAUAAAACCCCUCACUACAAUUAUAGUCUCUCAUGUUGUAGUCAUAAUAAUCCCCGGCUAUCGAAGACAUGUUCCCUUUAUAUCACCUUUGUACCUACACAAUGAACAAACAAGAUUAGUAGUAAAAGCU